UACGUAGGGUCCGAGCGUUGUCCGGAAUUACUGGGCGUAAAGAGCUCGUAGGUGGUUUGUCGCGUUGUCCGUGAAAACUCACAGCUCAACUGUGGGCGUGCGGGCGAUACGGGCAGACUGGAGUACUGCAGGGGAGACUGGAAUUCCUGGUGUAGCGGUGGAAUGCGCAGAUAUCAGGAGGAACACCGGUGGCGAAGGCGGGUCUCUGGGCAGUAACUGACGUGAGAAGCGAAAGCGUGGGGAGCGAAC
rnacentral:rRNA from 1 species